rnacentral:rRNA from 1 species
AGAGUUUGAUCAUGGCUCAGAACGAACGCUGGCGGCGUGCUUAACACAUGCAAGUCGAGUGCGCGGUUGUAGCAAUACAACUGGCGCACGGCGCACGGGUGCGUAACACGUGGGCAAUCUGCCCUUCGAUGGGGAAUAACUCCGGGAAACCGAAGCUAAUUCCGCAUAACAUUCCCUGGACUCCGGUUUGGGGACUCAAAGCAGUAAUGCGUCGAAGGAGGAGCCCGCGCCCGAUUAGCUAGUUGGUAGGGUAACGGCCUACCAAGGCUAUGAUCGGUAGCUGGUCUGAGAGGAUGGCCAGCCACACUGGAACUGAGACACGGUCCAGACUCCUACGGGAGGCAGCAGUGGGGAAUCUUGCGCAAUGGGCGAAAGCCUGACGCAGCGACGCCGCGUGGGGGAUGAAGCAUCUCGGUGUGUAAACCCCUUUCGACUGGGACGAAUGCCUCGCAAGAGGAGUGACGGUACCAGUAGAAGAAGCCCCGGCUAACUACGUGCCAGCAGCCGCGGUAAGACGUAGGGGGCCAGCGUUGUUCGGAAUUACUGGGUGUAAAGGGUUCGUAGGCGGUGUGGCAAGUCGGGAGUGAAAUCUAUGGGCUUAACCCAUAGGCUGCUUCCGAAACUGCUGUGCUCGAGUGUGGGAGAGGCGCGUGGAAUUGCAGGUGUAGCGGUGAAAUGCGUAGAUAUCUGCAGGAACACCCGUGGCGAAAGCGGCGCGCUGGACCACUACUGACGCUGAGGAACGAAAGCUAGGGGAGCAAACAGGAUUAGAUACCCUGGUAGUCCUAGCCCUAAACGAUCAGGACUUGGGGUGCCGCACGUUCGUGCGUCGUCCCGGAGCUAACGCGUUAAGUCCUGCACCUGGGGAGUACGGUCGCAGACUGAAACUCAAAGGAAUUGACGGGGCCCGCACAAGCGGUGGAACAUGUGGUUCAAUUCGACGCUACGCGAGGAA